CCUACGGGAGGCUGCAGUGGGGAAUAUUGCACAAUGGGGGCAACCCUGAUGCAGCGACGCCGCGUGAGCGAUGAAGUCUUUCGGUAUGUAAAGCUCUAUCAGCAGAGAAGAAGAUGACGGUACCUGACUAAGAAGCCCCGGCUAACUACGUGCCAGCAGCCGCGGUAAUACGUAGGGGGCCAGCGUUAUCCGGAUUUACUGGGUGUAAAGGGAGCGUAGACGGCGAUGCAAGCCAGAUGUGAAAGCCCGGGGCUCAACCCCGGGACUGCAUUUGGAACUGGGUGGCUGGAGUGUCGGAGAGGCAGGCGGAAUUCCUAGUGUAGCGGUGAAAUGCGUAGAUAUUAGGAGGAACACCAGUGGCGAAGGCGGCCUGCUGGACGAUGACUGACGUUGAGGCUCGAAAGCGUGGGGAGCAAACAGGAUUAGAUACCCGUGUAGUC
rnacentral:rRNA from 1 species